rnacentral:rRNA from 1 species
UCAAUACCCCCUAAAACACUCAAAACACCACUAAACAAACCAUUUUUCCCCCCAAGUACGGGCGACAGAAAAGGAACCAUCGCGCCAUAGAGAAAGUACCGCAAGGGAAAGCUGAAAGA